UACAGAGGUGGCAAGCGUUGUUCGGAAUUACUGGGCGUAAAGGGCGCGUAGGCGGCUUUUUAAGUCAGACGUGAAAUCCCCCGGCUUAACCUGGGAACUGCGUCUGAUACUGGGAAGCUUGAGUUCGGGAGAGGGAUGUAGAAUUCCAGGUGUAGCGGUGAAAUGCGUAGAUAUCUGGAGGAAUACCGGUGGCGAAGGCGGCAUCCUGGACCGGCAUUGACGCUGAGGCGCGAAAGCCAGGGGAGCAAACGGG
rnacentral:rRNA from 1 species